UUUCAUUCAGCAGAACUUCUACAAUAAUUACAAUGACACUGAGAAGAUUAGCUUGGCCCUUGUGCAUGGAUGUCACAUAAAUUCAUAAGCUAUUCCAUAUUUGG